UCUGCAUCAUCUUCCUCUCCCAUCUCUAG
rnacentral:piRNA from 1 species